rnacentral:rRNA from 1 species
UACGUAGGGUGCGAGCGUUGCCCGGAUUUAUUGGGCGUAAAGGGCGCGUAGGCGGCCACGCACGUCCGUUGUGAAAUCGCUCGGCUCAACUGGGCGGGGUCAGCGGAUACGGAGUGGCUGGAGCAAGCUAGGGGGCAAUGGAAUUCCCGGUGUAGUGGUGGAAUGCGUAGAUAUCGGGAGGAACACCAGUGGCGAAGGCGGUUGCCUGGAGCUUUGCUGACGCUGAUGCGCGAAAGCGUGGGGAGCAAACAGG